AUAGUUUCACCCUCUUCCGAGGGAAGUCCUCAAAAAAACAAAUCUGUUCUUUUCAGCUUAAUAUCUGAAAGUUCCCGCACCGCGGGACCAGUAUAUUAAACUGAUUUUUGUAAGCUGACGGGAUGCUCGGGGCUCGCUCCACUCCUGUCACGGGUCGGCCCGGCAUUGCAGUGCCGCCGGGAUCGGCCCACAUAAA
rnacentral:snRNA from 1 species